CGAGAGGCGCGCCCCGAGGUCCUUGACUCUAUGUCCGGCUCGCACGCACCUGAAGAAAAUUUCAUAUCAAACUACAAUGAGUUACAUUUUUCACCUCUUGGAUUGCCAAAAUUCUAAAUUUAGUAAAGCUGAGGUUUCAGUGGUGAUUAAAACUGCUUAGGCUCAUGAGCUCUAAACAUGAAGAAAUGAUAGAGGUGACAGGAAUCAUGGGCACACAGGGAAGAAGUGAGUUUGGACCUUACAGGGAUCUUGGAUGAAGAGCUGGAAAAGACUCAGUUGCUGGGACACAGCAGCAGACACUAGUACCCUCUGUGUGGGGAACUUUGCAAUGAUGACUCAUUUGAAACAAGGACCACUAGACACGGAAGAGCAGAGAAGAUAACCCACGCAAAGCAGGGAAGGCCUGUAAUAUCUUGGAUAUUUUACUUUGAAACUGUAAACAAUAACAUGAUGAAAACGUCUUAUUUUAAAAUUUACUUUGACUCUUACUUCAGAGCUAAUAUGAAUAUAUUACUUCAGUUUUGGAAAAUAGAAAAAAGCAAAACAGAACAAAAUCCCCCACCUAUUCCCAUAAUCUUAGUACAAUUAUUGUCUUUGGAGUAUUUUCUUAUGUUCUUCAUCUCAUUGGACACACCAUGAAGCAGCUAAUCUUGGUUAGAUUUGGAGUCAGGGAUCUAUCCCCAAGAGUCGCUUCCGUGAGGAGGAGAGUUCCUUCUGUGAUUUUCAAGGGAAGGGGGCCAGUGUUCUAACCUGCCUCAGGCUACCAGAACGACUGACAAAAGGCGAUCCCCUGUUUUGCUUAAUUUGGAAAUUCAUUCAAAGAAGGUGGUGUAUACACUGGUUCCAGGGAAGAAGAUGCAGACAUCUUUGGAAGGACCAUUACUCUGCUGCCGCACUGAUAUGUAAACAAAAUAUGAGAAGAAAAUGCUUUGCAAUGGAGUAAAAAUCAAGGGAAACUCAGGAGGAUGACACCUACCAUAGAAGUAGUGUUUAUUUUAAGCGCUGGCACCUUCUGGAAGUUCACUUCCAGAUUUAGUCCAUGGACCACAUCUUAGUUUAGGGUUCAGCAGCAACACCAGCAAAAAGUGCUACUUCACAUUGUCCUGCGACGAUCUCACAUAUGGAAGAUCAUGUUUGACAUUCCUGCUCUGUGACCUUGGACAAGAUACUUGAAUUCUUUAAGUUUUAUUUUGUAAAUUUUAAAAUGCAGCUCAUAGGGUCUUCCCUGAAGUACUGUCAGAAUUAGAGGUAAAGUGUAUAAAAUACUUACUACCACCCUAGGCAAUGAUGGUCCUUAAUUGCUAAUAUCUGUCAUAUUGCAUAGAAAUUACUAAUUAAUUUUGUACUCCUUUUCUGUGUAUUUACUUUUGUGUAAGAGUCAUGGCUUAAAAAUAAUCUCUGGCUGGGCAGUGAUAUGCAUUCAUUUGUG